GUCCCUGUAGCGCAAUGGAUAGCGCGUUGGACUUCUAAUCCAAAGGUCGUGGGUUCGAAUCCCAACUGGGAUG
rnacentral:tRNA from 1 species